UGGAAGCUGGUUUCACAUGGUGGUUUAGAUGUAUGCCCCGGGGUCUAGCACCAUUUGAAAUCAGUGUUCC
rnacentral:pre_miRNA from 1 species